rnacentral:sRNA from 1 species
UACAAGAUCUGCGCCUGGAUGCAGCUCUUGGCAGGAGGAAUGUAACUUUUGGAAAUGGCUGGAAGUCACUCCAGGUCAAGCAUAGAGAAUACAAUGGGUCAUCAAAUUGAUAAUUGUCACUUAGAAUGACAGCCAAGGUGUGAGGACAAAGCCAUGAGGCUGGUCUGUUUCCACAAGAGGACUUUUAUAAAUCCAGGGAGGAAUUACUGCCUCAUUGGAAGAAUUGCCCAAACUCCUAAAAGGACUACUUUGAAGAAGGCAGAUGUGGACAUUCUAAUGUGCUUGUUUCAAAUUCAUCCCAGCCAACUCAAUUAGAUGUGGAUCUUUGAAGAGGGUGAGAAGGGUGAACUAUAGGAUGUGGGUGAUAUGGCUCCAUACUUCUCUGUGGUACCCAGGGAGGUGAUAUUAUGUAUUUCUGCUGUAUUUCUCCUGCAAAGGCAAGCUGGAAUCCUCAAUUCAUCAACCUUAAUUUGGAGUCUGCA